UCUCCACAAAAUUCAAAACCCUAGCCCCCAUUUAGUUUUCCCUCAACACACACAAUCUGGACAUCUAGAGAAAGCUUGAGAGUUGAAAGAAAGAGAGAGAGGCAAGAUGCAGUGAUGACGUCCGGCCGGCCACCUGGUCACGACGGCGCAGGGGAGGCAACUGUGGGUGCGGGUGCGGCCGGGGUUUAAGGUGACAACUGUGUGGUACUCAGCGGCUCGCGGAGGAGCGACGGCGGCGGUGCCGCCAAACUCGAGGGGAUGCACGACCACUGCAGUGGCGGUAUUUGGUGCGGUGGUGUAUUGAACACCGAUUUGAUAUCUAAACGCACAAGGUUGGACACCGAUUUGAAGAAACCCUAACCUAAUUGCAGUUAAUGUUGUUUGGAGACAACGAGGCAUGUUUCAAGGAUGACUAUUACUCCAAGGAGGAGUUAAAUACAUCAUCUAUCUGGUGAAGGUGUCCACUGAAUUUGAAUAUGUAGGAGGUGUGGAACUUGCAAUCCCAAGUAGAAAAGUUAAAUAAAUGAUUCAAAGAGGCGCAACAAUCCCACACGGAAGUGUUGCAAAACCGAGUCGAAGAGCUGCAACACAAAUGAGAGAAGAUAUGAAACGACAAAUAACCGAGUUGAUGAAGCAGUUUGGUAAUCCUAGCAAUCCUCCACCAUAGUUUAGUUUUGUUUGUUGUCUUUUGCGGUUGAACUUGUAAUUUAAUAACCGUGGCAUAUUUUGUUGUUGAACCUACAAUUUGACAACCGUUUUGUAUUGUGUAUGAACUUUCAGU
rnacentral:lncRNA from 1 species